AAAUGUGAGAGCAAUCUGUCUGUGAAAUGUGUCACCCCACUGACUGCCAGAGUCAAAUAGGCUGACCAAGCUGGCUGGGCAGGUGUCCUCCUCCUCUCUAACUAUCCAUGUACUCCACUCCUAAAUUUAUGUACUCAGUUGAAGAGAACAACUUUCAGACUUUUCAACAGAGGAGGACUGUUUGGGGGCCAAAAGUAUGGGAAUAGCUGUGCUGUCCUGCUACAACUUUCAAACAAGCUCUCAAGAUCCAUUUGUUGAAGAAGGUAGCCAAGUUUCCAAGACAACAGAAACAUCCAAAUGAGGUGCUGCAUGUGGCAAUCUGCCUUUU
rnacentral:snRNA from 1 species